AACGAACGCUGGCGGCAUGCCUAACACAUGCAAGUCGAACGAGACCUUCGGGUCUAGUGGCGCACGGGUGCGUAACGCGUGGGAACCUGCCCUUAGGUUCGGAAUAACUCCCCGAAAGGGGUGCUAAUACCGGAUAAUGUCUUCGGACCAAAGAUUUAUCGCCUUUGGAUGGGCCCGCGUUGGAUUAGCUAGUUGGUAGGGUAAAAGCCUACCAAGGCGACGAUCCAUAGCUGGUCUGAGAGGAUGAUCAGCCACACUGGGACUGAGACACGGCCCAGACUCCUACGGGAGGCAGCAGUGGGGAAUAUUGGACAUUGGGCGAAAGCCUGAUCCAGCAAUGCCGCGUGAGUGAUGAAGGCCUUAGGGUUGUAAAGCUCUUUUACCCGGGAUGAUAAUGACAGUACCGGGAGAAUAAGCGCCGGCUAACUCCGUG
rnacentral:rRNA from 1 species